UACGGGGGGGGCAAGCGUUGUUCGGAAUUAUUGGGCGUAAAGGGUGCGUAGGUGGCGAAGUAAGUCAGACGUGAAAUCCCUCAGCUUAACUGGGGAACUGCGUCUGAGACUGGAUGGCUUGAGUGCAGGAGAGGAACGCGGAAUUCCAGGUGUAGCGGUGAAAUGCGUAGAUAUCUGGAGGAACACCGGUGGCGAAGGCGGCGUUCUGGACUGCUACUGACACUGAGGCACGAAAGCCAGGGGAGCAAACGGG
rnacentral:rRNA from 1 species